rnacentral:rRNA from 1 species
GAAGGGGGCUAGCGUUGUUCGGAAUUACUGGGCGUAAAGCGCGCGUAGGCGGGUUCUUAAGGUCACGGGGGGGUGAAAUCCCGAGGGCUCAACCUCGGGAACUGCCUUUGAUACUGAGAGCCUAGAGUCCCGGGAGAGGUGAGUGGAACUCCUAGUGUAGAGGUGAAAUUCGUAGAUAUUAGGAAGAACACCAGUGGCGAAGGCGGCUCACUGGCCCGGUACUGACGCUGAGGCGCGAAAGCGUGGGGAGCAAACAGGAUUAGAUACCCUGGUAGUCCACGCCGUAAACGAUGGAUGCUAGCUGUCGGGCAGUAUACUGUUCGGUGGCGCAGUUAACGCAUUAAGCAUCCCGCCUGGGGAGUACGGUCGCAAAGAUUAA